GACGAACGCUGGCGGCGUGCCUAAUACAUGCAAGUUGAGCGCUGAAGGUUGGUACUUGUACCGACUGGAUGAGCAGCGAACGGGUGAGUAACGCGUGGGGAAUCUGCCUUUGAGCGGGGGACAACAUUUGGAAACGAAUGCUAAUACCGCAUAAAAACUUUAAACACAAGUUUUAAGUUUGAAAGAUGCAAUUGCAUCACACAAAGAUGAUCCCGCGUUGUAUUAGCUAGUUGGUGAGGUAAAGGCUCACCAAGGCGAUGAUACAUAGCCGACCUGAGAGGGUGAUCGGCCACAUUGGGACUGAGACACGGCCCAAGCUCCUACGGGAGGCAGCAGUAGGGAAUCUUCGGCAAUGGACGAAAGUCUGACCGAGCAACGCCGCGUGAGUGAAGAAGGUUUUCGGAUCGUAAAACUCUGUUGGUAGAGAAGAACGUUGGUGAGAGUGGAAAGCUCAUCAAGUGACGGUAACUACCCAGAAAGGGACGGCUAACUACGUG
rnacentral:rRNA from 1 species